UUGCGGCCACAUUACGUUGAAACACAGGCUCCCGUACGAUUACCGAAGUCAAGCAACAUCGAGCUUGGUUAGUACCUAGAUGAGUGACCCUUUGGGAAUACCAAGUGCU